GGAAGGGUGGCAGAGCGGUUUAAUGCGCUGGCCCGAUAAGCCAGAGGUCCUUCUUGGACCCAGGGGUUCGAAUCCCCUUCCUUGGA
rnacentral:tRNA from 1 species